rnacentral:rRNA from 1 species
CCAGACUCCUACGGGAGGCAGCAGUGGGGAAUAUUGCACAAUGGGCGCAAGCCUGAUGCAGCCAUGCCGCGUGUAUGAAGAAGGCCUUCGGGUUGUAAAGUACUUUCAGCGGGGAGGAAGGCGCUGAGGUUAAUAACCUCAGCAAUUGACGUUACCCGCAGAAGAAGCACCGGCUAACUCCGUGCCAGCAGCCGCGGUAAUACGGAGGGUGCAAGCGUUAAUCGGAAUUACUGGGCGUAAAGCGCACGCAGGCGGCCUGUCAAGUCGGAUGUGAAAUCCCCGGGCUCAACCUGGGAACUGCAUUCGAAACUGGCAGGCUUGAGUCUCGUAGAGGGGGGUAGAAUUCCAGGAGUAGCGGUGAAAUGCGGAGAGAUCUAGAGGAAUACCGGUGGCGAAGGCGGC